rnacentral:rRNA from 1 species
AGAUUGAACGCUGGCGGCAUGCCUAACACAUGCAAGUCGAGCGGCAGCGCGGGGGGCAACCCUGGCGGCGAGCGGCGGACGGGUGAGUAAGGCAUCGGAAUCUGCCCUGAUGUGGGGGAUAACGUAGGGAAACUUACGCUAAUACCGCAUACGACCGAGAGGUGAAAGCGGGGGACCGAAAGGCCUCGCGCAGCAGGAUGAGCCCAUGGCCCAUCAGCUAGUUGGUAGGGUAAAGGCCUACCAAGGCUACGACGGGUCGCUGGGUCUGAGAGGACGACCAGCCACACUGGCACUGAGAUACGUGGCCAGACUCCGUACGGGAGCAGC